rnacentral:rRNA from 1 species
GACGAACGCUGGCGGCGUGCUUAACACAUGCAAGUCGAACGGAAAGGCCCUGCUUUUGUGGGGUGCUCGAGUGGCGAACGGGUGAGUAACACGUGAGUAACCUGCCCUUGACUUUGGGAUAACUUCAGGAAACUGGGGCUAAUACCGGAUAGGAGCUCCUGCUGCAUGGUGGGGGUUGGAAAGUUUCGGCGGUUGGGGAUGGACUCGCGGCUUAUCAGCUUGUUGGUGGGGUAGUGGCUUACCAAGGCUUUGACGGGUAGCCGGCCUGAGAGGGUGACCGGCCACAUUGGGACUGAGAUACGGCCCAGACUCCUCCGGGAGGCAGCAGUGGGGAAUAUUGCACAAUGGGCGGGAGCCUGAUGCAGCAACGCCGCGUGCGGGAUGACGGCCUUCGGUUUGUAAACCGCUUUCGCCUGUGACGAAGCGUGAGUGACGGUAAUGGGUAAAGAAGCACCGGCUAACUACGUG